rnacentral:rRNA from 1 species
UAAUGGCAGGUCAGCAUACUGCCGUGAAUACGUUCCCGGGCCUUGUACACACCGCCCGUCACACCAUGAGAGUUGGAAAUACCCGAAGCCUGUGAGCUAACAAACGAGGCAGCAGUCGAAGGUAGAGCCAAUGAUUGGGGUGAAGUCGUAACAAGGUAAC